GAGAGAAAGGAUAGUUAGAGAGAGAAAGGAGAGGAUCCAUCAAGUUGAAGGUCUCAAAUCCCAAGGCUCGUGAAGGAUAAAGUGUAGUACAAGUUCUUGCCGUCGUUCUAAGCUACAAAUCAAACUUGGGGUGUUGAUUUCGUGGUGGAUGCUCAUAAAAGAUCAAAGUUGAAAAGGUUGACGAACAUUGUAUUACGCUCAAAGGCUGGAAUUAAGGUAACGAUACACAGGUUGACGACUCAGCUAAUUAGGAGUGCACGUGUCAGCU